rnacentral:rRNA from 1 species
GAGUUGAUCAUGGCUCAGGAUGAACGCUGGCGGCGUGCCUAACACAUGCAAGUCGAACGGGGUUACUGGCAGCGGAGAUUCGGUCAAAGCAGCCUUUAACCUAGUGGCGGACGGGUGAGUAACGCGUGGGGAACCUGCCCUGUACUGGGGGAUAACAGUGAGAAAUCACUGCUAAUACCGCAUAAGCGCACAGCAUCGCAUGAUGCAGUGUGAAAAACUGAGGUGGUACAGGAUGGCUCCGCGUUGGAUUAGCCAGUUGGCGGGGUAACGGCCCACCAAAGCGACGAUCCAUAGCCGGCCUGAGAGGGUGAACGGCCACAUUGGGACUGAGACACGGCCCAGACUCCUACGGGAGGCAGCAGUGGGGAAUAUUGCACAAUGGGGGAAACCCUGAUGCAGCGACGCCGCGUGAAGGAAGAAGUAUCUCGGUAUGUAAACUUCUAUCAACAGGGAAGAUGAUGACGGUACCUGACUAAGAAGCCCCGGCUAACUACGUGCCAGCCGCCGC